CACCCUGGAUAGUGCCCACUGCCAUGGGGCAGGUCACUCCCAAGUCGUCCCCCAUGCCUACACGGCUGUGCGGGCCAAGAUAGUGAACCGAUCCCGCCAUCUUACCUUUCUAGCUGCGCUGUAGUCUUGGUCAGUGCCAACAAGCACAACACCCAGGCGAGCCAAGCAGAGCUGAUACGGCAGACUCUAGCCUCCAGCAUGGGCGGUGGCCGGCUACUCCCAUUUCUCCUUGAAGCCAGCUCUGAGCAGGUGAGCCCAUGUCUGAAAUGGCGAGACUCCCGCUUGGCAUCCUUUAUAUACGGGGUUCCUAGACUACAUGUUUGGAUUGGAUGAGAGCAAACUUCAAGGUCUACUCUAACUGGGCUUUAUUUCUAUAGUCUGAUUGGCUAACCUAAAACUUGUUGUCAUCCAACCCGAAGCUAUUCUAGCCAGGCUGAGCUGCGGCUCCCUUAAAAGGGUGUGGUGCUUCAGCCUUGAGGACAGUGUCUGUCAGCUUGCCUGCCCCUGCGGAACCCCGCCUGGCCGGCCGACAGACCAGAGAGAAGUCGCUGUAGGCGGCGGCUGCCCUGGCCCGGCACUCGAGAAGUCGGCGGCGGGGGCCCCGGCCAAGUCAGAGGGAAGUCAGCGGCGGCGACGCGGCCCCAUCCCUCCCGCCGGAGGGAAGUCGGUGUAGGCGGCGGCGGGGGCGCGGUUGGAGCUAGUUUCUUUGGAGAAGCCGUGGUGGCUUCAACGUGAUGGUGGAAGACGAGACAGGUCUCUGCGGCUUUUCUGACUUUGCCCCGCCCAGCUGCUCCAUGCCACGAGAAGGAAGAGCUAUCUGCUGCAUGCUGGAGGCUGGAGCCUGUGGCACCACGGCUCGCCUCGCUGCAGUGGGUGGCAGCGGCGGAGACUGCAGAGCGCCGGAGAGGUAGACGCGUGGCUGGCUGCCACCAGGGCAGGGACGGGUGCAGAGGUGGCCAGGUGGCAGCCUCUGAGGUGGCCUUGGUCCCUGGGUUCCCCCCACCGCCCCCGCUGUUUGUGGCAGGCAGAGCUGGGGUUGCCACUGCUUCUGAUGCGCCGUGUGUAUACAGUUGAGCCGUAGGGUGGCAGUGCUGGUUUCCGUUCUUCUGUUCCUUUUUGUCCCUGGUCCAGGGCACUGUUCACAGGCGCUG
rnacentral:lncRNA from 1 species